AUUCAUAUAAUUUUCUUUACUUUUGUCAUACGUUUAACUAGUGUCUAGUACCAUUUUUUUUUCAUUUGUGAGCUCAUGUAGUUACACCCUAUAUUUAUUAAUAUUUAUAAUUAGUAAUUACAUAUAAACUUUAGGUAUAUAAUCAGUCGUGGACUGGUUGGGUGCUGGGAUUCUACAGUAUCCCUUGCCCUAAAAUAUAUUUUCCCUUAUCAGUAUAAAUGUGCCUUAAGUUGUAAACAUAACAACCAAGCCCUCGCACGACACGACACACGACAUAGAAUCUGAUCUAGACCGUAAUUAAUUAUAGCAUGGCCUUUCUUAAUUAUCUAUAAUCACUAUUCGCUAUGAUUACUAGUACACCGUGCUACCAGUUUUGGUCUUUGGUAAAUCUACCACUGACCAGUGUCGUCCAGGCUCACCGUAUCGUGUAAAAUAAUCAGUUACCACAGUCACCAAACGAUACCGUAUAUUCAACUUUUCACCGUGUGGUUACAUUUAUGUGUGGAAAAGUGAUAACUGGUAUCUAUAAACCUUGGUUACCGUUCAGUAAUCAAUUUACAAAUUACAAGGCCCGAAGGUCGACAGAACUCAACAGUGAACACUGAACACUAUACCAUACCUAUAACUGAGUUACAAGAUAUUGUGCAAAUAUUCUACAAUUGUAUGUUUUAUUGUAAAUGGCAUUCAGUCGUGCAUGGUACCACUUCAAACGUAAUUUUAUAUCUGUAACAUUUCCCAUUAUUUCGUUUUCUGCAAUCUACGGUGAUUACAACCGGACAUUAAAUUGGAAAAAAAUACAAAAUCAAAAAGUUUAAA